rnacentral:rRNA from 12 species
ACUAUGGGCUAAACAUCCUAAGAUUGCCUGAUCCUGUCAGAUUUUUGAAGCUAAGCUGGGCUGGGCCUGGUUAGUACUUGGAUCAGAGUCUGCUGUGGAAGACCUGGCACUGCUAGUC